rnacentral:rRNA from 1 species
AUUGAACGCUGGCGGCAUGCCUUACACAUGCAAGUCGAACGGCAGCGGACCUUCGGGUGCCGGCGAGUGGCGAACGGGUGAGUAAUAUAUCGGAACGUACCUUUCAGUGGGGGAUAACGUAGCGAAAGUUACGCUAAUACCGCAUAUUCUGUGAGCAGGAAAGCAGGGGAUCGCAAGACCUUGCGCUGAUUGAGCGGCCGAUAUCAGAUUAGCUAGUUGUGAGGUAAAGGCUCACCAAGGCGACGAUCUGUAGCGGGUCUGAGAGGAUGAUCCGCCACACUGGAACUGAGACACGGUCCAGACUCCUACGGGAGGCAGCAGUGGGGAAUUUUGGACGAAUGGGCGCAAGCCUGGAUCCAGCCAUGCCGCGUGAGUGAAGAAGGCCGUCGGUUGGUAAGUACGUC